CAUCACUGCAAUUCAGUUUUGGAGCUUUUUCGUCAUCCCAGGAGAGUGAAGCCCUCAGGCCCAGUUGGUAUCCAUCUCCACUCCUAGCUUCAGCUUCAAGCCACUACGGAUUUGCUUGUAUGGAAAUGAUGUAGAAAUCUGCUCAAGCAACAUGAGUACUUCGCCUCUGCUUUCUUCUAUUAUGCAUCAUCAUUUUGUGGAUAAUCUGCCUUGUAAGUUCGUUCCUCAGCUACCAGCACUUCUAAGUGGUUCACAUGUUGAUGAAUUGAUCAGAAGUCUCUCUGAAGAGGCUGAUUUUUAAACCAAAGCCCAACUUAUUUAUAAAGGAAGAUCCAUCUAACCUAAUGUGUACCUGACUAGUACUUGGAAGAGAUGAGAGAAGGUUGCAAGGAGGUGAGAAGUAUAUGAAUCAGUUCCUGGGGUGUCCUGAAGCUCUGAAGAAAAUGACUUGAAACAAUUCCAGCUCUCACUUUUUUCCUUCAAUCAAUUCCCAGCUGGGCUGUGACAGAAGGCAGAUGAUAAGAAAAGGAAG
ensembl:lncRNA